ACCUCUGUGGUGUAGUGGUAGCAUGCGUCCGCGGUAUGGAUUGAAACGCUGGUUCGACUCCCGUCUGAGGCC